rnacentral:tRNA from 1 species
GGGGCUGUAGCUCAGUGGUAGAGCGUCCGCUUUGCAUGCGGAAGGCCCGGGGUUCAAAUCCCCGCAGCUCCA